ensembl:ncRNA lncRNA:CR45900 long non-coding RNA:CR45900
GGACCCAUGACACGGUGCAUUUACUAUCCAUAAACAGACGACUCAAGUCGGUCCAAGUCGAGUAGCGCGAGCCUCGUCCUCGAUUCGGCCACGCAUUUCCAUUUCCCGUCCCGUUCAACAGAACAUCAGUCUAAUGCGAGACACACGCGUCUUCCCUUCCCAGGUAGGCCUUGAUUCGUCCGUGGAAAUCAGAGAAAUCAGAGGUGGAAAUGGAUGGAAAUGGCGGCGAAAGGGAUUUUCGCUCUGUUUACCCAAAACAGACUUUCCUUUAGCCAACGCCCCCGUCUCACAAGAAAUUGAACUGUAAUGGCAGUAAUGUUUCGCAAAAGGAUUAAGAUGUUGAACUGCGAAUGU